UUUUGCAUUGGGGUUGUUUUUAAUGAUCCCAUUACCAACCGCGUGCAACAGGUGUGUUUUACCGAGACCGGUUCCACCAUA
rnacentral:antisense_RNA from 1 species